GACGUAGGGCGCGAGCGUGUCCGGAUUUAUUGGGCGUAAAGAGCUCGUAGGCGGCUUGUCGCGUCGACCGUGAAAACUUGGGGCUCAACCCCAAGCCUGCGGGUCGAUACGGGCAGGCUAGAGUUCGGUAGGGGAGACUGGAAUUCCUGGUGUAGCGGUGAAAUGCGCAGAUAUCAGGAGGAACACCGGUGGCGAAGGCGGGUCUCUGGGCCGAUACUGACGCUGAGGAGCGAAAGCGUGGGGAGCGAACAGG
rnacentral:rRNA from 1 species